AAACAAGACAAGAACCCAGAACCGGAGCAGGACAGAAAGCAGAACCCAGAACAUGUACACAAGACACGAGGGAAACCAGAACAGGGCAGGACAGUACUGUACAUGAACUGGGAAUGCAAGACAAAAUGAAACAAGACCAGAGAUGCAAUGCAGAACAAGGAGACAUAACUAAGUACUACACCCUGUUCCAAAUUAUUAUGCAAAUUCUAUUUAAGUGUCACAAAGAGUAUAUAUUUUGUAUUUCAGUUUAACUCAUGGAUGGCAUUGUGUCUCAGGGCUCUUUUGAUCACUGAAAACAAUCUCAGACACCUGUGAUAAUUAGAUUGCCAGGUGAGCCCAAUUUAAGGAAAAAC